rnacentral:ribozyme from 1 species
AACAGUAUUUGUACCGCAUUUUCAAAAGUAAUUUUGAAUGAAUUUUCACCGAUCAUGCUUGAUUAUUCAUUUCAUUUCAUCUCUCAAUUAUCCAAGCUUGGGUACACGGGGACACCCAACCCCUUGGGAGGAUGAGGGGUGUGGCAAAAUUGAGAGGG